rnacentral:misc_RNA from 1 species
GUGAAUCAUCGAAUCUUUGAACGCAUAUUGCACCCUCUGGUAUUCCGGAGAGUAUGCCUGUUUGAGGGUAAGUAAAAAGAAUCUUUACCAAUUUUUUUGGUCAAAGGAAAUGAGUUCUCCGCGUUUAUAGCGGUAGCUUGAAAUAAAUGGUAGUCUCAUUUAGUUGGAGCGCGGUAAUAUUAUUAUUUGGCGAAUCCUUCA